UGCAGAAUCCCGUGAACCAUCAAGUCUUUGAACGCAAGUUGCGCCCGAGGCCAAUCGGCCAAGGGCACGUCUGCCUGGGCGUCAAGCGUUGCGUCACUUCGUGUCAUCACCACCCACCAUUGGGUGUGUUGGUGCAUGCUCGAAUGUGGAGAGUGGUUCUCCGUGUCCUUGGAUGCGGCGGACUGAAGAACGGGUUGUUGUCCUCCUGGCCACGAUAGACAAGGGGUGGACGGAUGCCACGAGCACGGCCAAACAGUGUCUCAUGUUGGCCUGAGGAAGAUUAUACAUCCCAAGUGAACCCAAAUCCAUAUGCCGUACCGCAAGGGUCGGCUUGGAAUGCGACCCCAGGAUGGGCGGGGCUACCCGCUGAGUUUAAGCAUAUCAAUAAGCGGAGGAGAAGAAACUUAAGAGGAUUCCCCUAGUAACGGCGAGCGAACCGGGAUCAGCCCAGCAUGGGAAUCGAGCUGCCGUGUAGUAGCUCGA
rnacentral:rRNA from 1 species